rnacentral:rRNA from 1 species
UGGCGGACGGGUGAGUAACGCGUGGGUAACCUGCCCUAUACAGGGGGAUAACAGUUAGAAAUGACUGCUAAUACCGCAUAAGCGCACAGGACCGCAUGGUUCGGUGUGAAAAACUGAGGUGGUAUAGGAUGGACCCGCGUCUGAUUAGCUUGUUGGUGGGGUAACGGCCCACCAAGGCGACGAUCAGUAGCCGGCCUGAGAGGGCGACCGGCCACAUUGGGACUGAGACACGGCCCAAACUCCUACGGAAGGCAGCAG